GAAUGGCCAUGUUCCAGAAGCAUUCUCUCCUGACGUUUCGCCCACAUCUAUGGCAGGCAUCCUCAGAGGUGGUGAGGUCCAAGAGAAAAAGUGGACAACAGACCGAUCUCAUAAACUCUCUGUCCAAUUUCCCAGGCUCUAGAUUAUCACCAUCACUGAAGAAGAAAUUGUUCAAAGCAAGGAAAAAUGUAUUCCUGCAAGUCUCCAAAAAAAGCAAUUCCUGAACAGGUGCUUUUUCAUGACAAAACCAAAGUGAUUUUCCGAUAAUUUUCAAGUUAUUAUUAUUAUGUUUGUUUAAGGUAAAGGUUUCCCCUGACGUUAAGUCCAGUCGUGACCGACUCUGGGGGUUGGUGCUCAUCUCCAUUUCUAAGCCGAAGAGCCGUCGUUGUCCAUAGACAUCUCCAAGGUCAUGUGGCCAGCAUGACUGCAUGGAGCGCCGUUACCUUCCCACCAGAGUGUUACCUAUUGAUCUACUCACAUUGGCAUGUUUUUGAACUGCUAGGUUGGCAGAAGGUGGAGCUAACAGCAGGUGCUCACUGUACCCCACGGGUUUGAACCUGGGACCUUUUGGUCUGCAAGUUCAGCAGCUCAGCGCUUUAACACACUGAGCUACCAGAGGCUCCAUGUUUAUCUCUUUAAUAAUCCUGUGAGGUGGUUUAAACUGGGAUAGUAAGAGGUCACCCUCAUGGGAAUUUGAAUCCCAUGUUUGUCCAAUGUUUAGGAUGUACUUACAAUGUAGAAUCAAUGUAGUUUGGCACCAUUUUUACUGCCAUUUCUUGAUGCUGUAGAAUUCUGAGAUUUGUAGUUUGAUGAGACACAGUACUCUUUGGCAAAGAAGGCUAAAAAGCUUGGGAAGCUACAACUCCCAGGAUUCUAUAGCUUGAGCCAUAGUUGUUAAAGUGAUGUCAAACUACAAUAUUUUUACAGAGUAGAUUCACCCAGAGUGUUGCACCCCACACCUUAAGUCACCUAUGACCCGAGCACCACACAGGAACCCAGAGUAAAGGCAAACCGUUCAUUGCAUAAACACAUGAAAGAUAUAUAGCAAACAGCAAGGAAAGAAGGUAUAAUGUCCAAAACAUCAGCAAUCCAAUGUCUCUUGUAAAUCCAAAAGCAAGGCAGUUCAAGAAUAGUCCAAAAAUCCAAAAGCAACUUGAAUUCAUAAACAAAAUUUGAACAAGGAUACUGUUGUGAUUCAGUGAGGAUCUAGGAUUGACUCUGAUGAGGAAAGAGGGAUUCAGGUUCAGAAUCUUCCUGAAAGGCCUGUAGUUGUGGAAGAUGAGGAACAGAGGGUGCAAGUUCAGUUUCCCACAGGGAGGGUUGGAGUCGAUGACCCUGAACCCACUGAAGCCAGCCAGGUGCACACUGACAUGGGAAUGGAGGAAGGGAGGAUGGAAGAUUCCCAGCUUAAUAAUGAGCCUCAUCGAAAUAACAAGCAAACUGACUUUGAUGGGAUGAGCUCCUUAGAUAGAGCUGAGCGUUUGGAAUUGAGGGUACGGCAUAGUGCAAGGAUUGCAAACAGACGGGGCGAGGUGAGAGGGCAGAGAAAUGCUUUCAUGUUUGGCAGAGAGUGUUAAAAGGGGUGCUUUGGGAAAAAGCUGUUGUCAAAGCAACUUUCUCGCUACCGGAGAAGCAAGCUCAUUUUUCUUGCUGUGCUUUGGAUUAUAUUGCAGCCCAUGUACCCAUGUUUCUUGGAUUUUGUCAUGUUUCCUUUGGAUGUUGUUUAUUCCUGGUAAGCUCUGGACUUAUAUCGCAAGACUAUAUUUGUAACUGACUUUUGAUGCUUUACUUUUGCUUUUUAAAGAAAUUUUUACCAUUUUUAAUAAAAAGACACAAACCUGC